UAUGUGAUCGUCUCUCGCAUAUCAAUAAGCGGAGGAAAAGAAACUAACAAGGAUUCCCCUAGUAACGGCGAGUGAAGCGGGAAGAGCUCAAAUUUGAAAUCUUAAAGGGUUUCCCUUUACGAAUUGUAGUUUAAAGAAGUGUUUUCUGUUGAGGUUUUGGUAAAAGUUCUUUGGAAUAGGACAUCAUAGAGGGUGAGAAUCCCGUAUUUGACCUUUACUUUCAACUUUGUGAUACACUUUCAAAGAGUCGGAUUGUUUGGGAAUGCAGUCCAAAAUGGGUGGUAAAUUUCAUCUAAAGCUAAAUAUUGGCGAGAGACCGAUAGCGAACAAGUACCGUGAGGGAAAGAUGAAAAGAACUUUGAAAAGAGAGUUAAACAGUACGUGAAAUUGUCAAAAGGGAAGCGUUUGACACCAGUGUUGUUUUUCUGAAAAUCAAUUAAAGAACUGUUUAUGCUAAGCUGUUUAGACUUUAUCAGCUAAUCUGUUUAGUUUUGAGCUUUUCUUUAAUGCACUUUUCAGUUAACAAGUCAACAUCAAUUUCUUUUGCUGUAAAAAAGCUUGAGGAAGGUGGCUUGAGACUCGUCUUAAGUGUUUAUAGCCUCUUGCCUAUGCAGUCGGAGAGAUUGAGGUCUGCAGCGUAGAUCCUUCGGGGCUAAAUGCAUUUGUGCUAAGUUAUAGCAUUUUAUAGACAACUUGUUGACUAUGAUUUGUCUUGUAGCUUACUCGCUUAUGUUAUUUUACCUACGCUUAGGAUGUUGACACACGCGCGUGCUCG
rnacentral:rRNA from 1 species